ensembl:rRNA 5S_rRNA 5S ribosomal RNA
GUCUCAGGCCGUAUCAGCCUGAAGGCGCCCGAUCUCGUCUGAUCUCGGAAGCUAAGCAGGGUCGGGCCUGGUUGGUAUCUUGGAUGGGAGACCACCUGGGAAUCCCGGGUGCUCGAGGCU